UCCAUUUUGAUGUUCUAGCAAACACGUUACACUGAACGGCUGUUCACACACAUUACAUUGUUUUUUUGAAAAUUUCAUCUAUAUUAAAGGUACCUGCCUCUCUCAAUUUCAAGAUUGUGUGCACUCAGCCUAAGUUUUGCCAUAGGUGCCCUAUCAUUGAUGAGAAGAUUUAAGGAAAAAAUUACAGAGAAAUCCAAUAACUAGCAGAAAAUUCGAACAACCUAAGGUUUUGAGUAGGCAAUGUAAAGGUAAUGCUGCUAUCUCUGCAAUAACCAAACAGUGUGGUAAGAAUACAGUCUAGUUAUACAUGAUACAGCCUAAAUAUGUUGCACUCCUAGACAGAAGAAGAUGGAUUCAUGGCACAUAGGAAGAGUCAACAUCCCAGAUAUGUUCCACUCCCACACAAUGUAGAUGGUUUCAUGGUAGAUGGCACAUUAGGAUGUUUAACAUAUACAGCCUAAAUAUGUUACACUCCUAGACAAUGAAGAUGGUUUCAUGGUAGAUUGAUCACUCAUCUGGAGACAUAGCAUAUACAGACUAGAUAUGUUACACUCCUUGACAAUGAAGAUGCUUUCAUGGUAUAUAGCACACGAAGAUACAUAUCAUAUACAUCCUAAAUAUGUUACUCUUCGACAAUGAGAUGGUUUCAUUGUAUAUAGCACAUUAGGAUUAGUUACAUAUAGCCUAAAUAUGUAAGACUCCUAUACCAUAAAAGAUGCUUCCAUUGGAGAUAGCAUAUUAGGAUUAGUCACAUAUAGCCUAAAUAUGUAAGACUCCUAUGCCAUGAAAGAUGCUUCCAUUGCAGAUGCACAUUAGGAAUAGUCACAUAUUAUACAGCCUAAAUAUGUAACACUCCUAUACCAUGAAAGAUGCUGUCAUUGUAGAUAGCACAUUAGGAUGUUGCACAUAUACAGCCUAAAUAUGUUGCACUCCUAGACAGAAGAAGAUGGAUUCAUGGCACAUAGGAAGAGUCAACAUCCCAGAUAUGUUCCACUCCCACACAAUGUAGAUGGUUUCAUGGUAGAUGGCACAUUAGGAUGUUUAACAUAUACAGCCUAAAUAUGUUACACUCCUAGACAAUGAAGAUGGUUUCAUGGUAGAUUGAUCACUCAUCUGGAGACAUAGCAUAUACAGACUAGAUAUGUUACACUCCUUGACAAUGAAGAUGCUUUCAUGGUAUAAAGCACACGAAGAUACAUAUCAUAUACAGCCUAAAUAUGUUACUCUUCGACAAUGAGAUGGUUUCAUUGUAUAUAGCACAUUAGGAUUAGUUACAUAUAGCCUAAAUAUGUAAGACUCCCAUACCAUGAAAGAUGCUUCCAUUGGAGAUAGCAUAUUAGGAUUAGUCACAUAUAGCCUAAAUAUGUAAGACUCCUAUGCCAUGAAAGAUGCUUCCAUUGCAGAUGCACAUUAGGAAUAGUCACAUAUUAUACAGCCUAAAUAUGUAACACUCCUAUACCAUGAAAGAUGCUGUCAUUGUAGAUAGCACAUUAGGAUGUUGCACAUAUACAGCCUAAAUAUGUUGCACUCCUAGACAGAAGAAGAUGGAUUCAUGGCACAUAGGAAGAGUCAACAUCCCAGAUAUGUUCCACUCCCACACAAUGUAGAUGGUUUCAUGGUAGAUGGCACAUUAGGAUGUUUAACAUAUACAGCCUAAAUAUGUUACACUCCUAGACAAUGAAGAUGGUUUCAUGGUAGAUUGAUCACUCAUCUGGAGACAUAGCAUAUACAGACUAGAUAUGUUACACUCCUUGACAAUGAAGAUGCUUUCAUGGUAUAUAGCACACGAAGAUACAUAUCAUAUACAGCCUAAAUAUGUUACUCUUCGACAAUGAGAUGGUUUCAUUGUAUAUAGCACAUUAGGAUUAGUUACAUAUAGCCUAAAUAUGUAAGACUCCUAUACCAUGAAAGAUGCUUCCAUUGCAGAUAGCAUAUUAGGAUUAGUCACAUAUAGCCUAAAUAUGUAAGACUCCUAUGCCAUGAAAGAUGCUUCCAUUGCAGAUGCACAUUAGGAAUAGUCACAUAUUAUACAGCCUAAAUAUGUAACACUCCUAUACCAUGAAAGAUGCUGUCAUUGUAGAUAGCACAUUAGGAUGUUGCACAUAUACAGCCUAAAUAUGUUGCACUCCUAGACAGAAGAAGAUGGAUUCAUGGCACAUAGGAAGAGUCAACAUCCCAGAUAUGUUCCACUCCCACACAAUGUAGAUGGUUUCAUGGUAGAUGGCACAUUAGGAUGUUUAACAUAUACAGCCUAAAUAUGUUACACUCCUAGACAAUGAAGAUGGUUUCAUGGUAGAUUGAUCACUCAUCUGGAGACAUAGCAUAUACAGACUAGAUAUGUUACACUCCUUGACAAUGAAGAUGCUUUCAUGGUAUAAAGCACACGAAGAUACAUAUCAUAUACAGCCUAAAUAUGUUACUCUUCGACAAUGAGAUGGUUUCAUUGUAUAUAGCACAUUAGGAUUAGUUACAUAUAGCCUAAAUAUGUAAGACUCCCAUACCAUGAAAGAUGCUUCCAUUGGAGAUAGCAUAUUAGGAUUAGUCACAUAUAGCCUAAAUAUGUAAGACUCCUAUGCCAUGAAAGAUGCUUCCAUUGCAGAUGCACAUUAGGAAUAGUCACAUAUUAUACAGCCUAAAUAUGUAACACUCCUAUACCAUGAAAGAUGCUGUCAUUGUAGAUAGCACAUUAGGAUGUUGCACAUAUACAGCCUAAAUAUGUUGCACUCCUAGACAGAAGAAGAUGGAUUCAUGGCACACAGGAAGAGUCAACAUCCCAGAUAUGUUCCACUCCCACACAAUGUAGAUGGUUUCAUGGUAGAUGGCACAUUAGGAUGUUUAACAUAUACAGCCUAAAUAUGUUACACUCCUAGACAAUGAAGAUGGUUUCAUGGUAGAUUGAUCACUCAUCUGGAGACAUAGCAUAUACAGACUAGAUAUGUUACACUCCUUGACAAUGAAGAUGCUUUCAUGGUAUAUAGCACACGAAGAUACAUAUCAUAUACAGCCUAAAUAUGUUACUCUUCGACAAUGAGAUGGUUUCAUUGUAUAUAGCACAUUAGGAUUAGUUACAUAUAGCCUAAAUAUGUAAGACUCCUAUACCAUGAAAGAUGCUUCCAUUGCAGAUAGCAUAUUAGGAUUAGUCACAUAUAGCCUAAAUAUGUAAGACUCCUAUGCCAUGAAAGAUGCUUCCAUUGCAGAUGCACAUUAGGAAUAGUCACAUAUUAUACAGCCUAAAUAUGUAACACUCCUAUACCAUGAAAGAUGCUGUCAUUGUAGAUAGCACAUUAGGAUGUUGCACAUAUACAGCCUAAAUAUGUUGCACUCCUAGACAGAAGAAGAUGGAUUCAUGGCACAUAGGAAGAGUCAACAUCCCAGAUAUGUUCCACUCCCACACAAUGUAGAUGGUUUCAUGGUAGAUGGCACAUUAGGAUGUUUAACAUAUACAGCCUAAAUAUGUUACACUCCUAGACAAUGAAGAUGGUUUCAUGGUAGAUUGAUCACUCAUCUGGAGACAUAGCAUAUACAGACUAGAUAUGUUACACUCCUUGACAAUGAAGAUGCUUUCAUGGUAUAUAGCACACGAAGAUACAUAUCAUAUACAGCCUAAAUAUGUUACUCUUCGACAAUGAGAUGGUUUCAUUGUAUAUAGCACAUUAGGAUUAGUUACAUAUAGCCUAAAUAUGUAAGACUCCUAUACCAUGAAAGAUGCUUCCAUUGCAGAUAGCAUAUUAGGAUUAGUCACAUAUAGCCUAAAUAUGUAAGACUCCUAUGCCAUGAAAGAUGCUUCCAUUGCAGAUGCACAUUAGGAAUAGUCACAUAUUAUACAGCCUAAAUAUGUAACACUCCUAUACCAUGAAAGAUGCUGUCAUUGUAGAUAGCACAUUAGGAUGUUGCACAUAUACAGCCUAAAUAUGUUGCACUCCUAGACAGAAGAAGAUGGAUUCAUGGCACAUAGGAAGAGUCAACAUCCCAGAUAUGUUCCACUCCCACACAAUGUAGAUGGUUUCAUGGUAGAUGGCACAUUAGGAUGUUUAACAUAUACAGCCUAAAUAUGUUACACUCCUAGACAAUGAAGAUGGUUUCAUGGUAGAUUGAUCACUCCUCUGGAUACAUAGCAUAUACAGACUAGAUAUGUUACACUCCUUGACAAUGAAGAUGCUUUCAUGGUAUAUAGCACACGAAGAUACAUAUCAUAUGCUAAUUAUAUGAUAUUUCAGUAGUAGAAGGUGCAGCAUGGCAGCAAUAUGAUAUUUCAGUAGUAUAAGGUGCAGCAUGGCAGCAGAAGAUGUUACAUGGAGAAUCGUGAAGAGACAGUUUAAUUCUUUAGAGGAUAAAUAAUAUUAUAGUUUAUAGAUUUAUAGUUUAUAAAUUCUUUAAAGUUCAAACAGAUGAGAAUUUGCCAAGUGCCCUCAAUAUGUCUACAAUGAUAUAACAUUCAUAAUUAAGAAUGUAUUGUAAACCUCUUUUUCAAUAUUCAUAUUAAAGGAAGUAGAUUGUCAAUUUCGAUAUUUACUUAUUUACCUUAAAUUUUAUUAAGUAAUUGGAACAAUAUGUCUUUAUUUAGAUUGUUUGAAAUUCAAGUUCAAAAUGUAUUUACAUCAGAUAGUUUGGGUUUGCCAGCAACUUCAGUUGUAUUAUAGUAUAGCCAAAA